rnacentral:rRNA from 1 species
AUUGAACGCUGGCGGCAGGCCUAACACAUGCAAGUCGGGCGGUAACACAGGGAGCUUGCUCCUGGGUGACGAGCGGCGGACGGGUGAGUAAUGUCUGGGAAACUGCCUGAUGGAGGGGGAUAACUACUGGAAACGGUAGCUAAUACCGCAUAACGUCGCAAGACCAAAGAGGGGGACCUUCGGGCCUCUUGCCAUCAGAUGUGCCCAGAUGGGAUUAGCUAGUAGGUGGGGUAAUGGCUCACCUAGGCGACGAUCCCUAGCUGGUCUGAGAGGAUGACCAGCCACACUGGAACUGAGACACGGUCCAGACUCCUACGGGAGGCAGCAGUGGGGAAUAUUGCACAAUGGGCGCAAGCCUGAUGCAGCCAUGCCGCGUGUAUGAAGAAGGCCUUCGGGUUGUAAAGUACUUUCAGCGAGGAGGAAGGCAUUAAGGUUAAUAACCUUGGUGAUUGACGUUACUCGCAGAAGAAGCACCGGCUAACUCCGUGCCAGCAGCCGCCGUAA